UACGAAGGGGGCAAGCGUUACCCGGAUUCACUGGGCGUAAAGCGCGUGUAGGCGGCUGGCCAAGCGUGGUGUGAAAUCUCCGGGCUCAACCCGGAAACUGCACUGCGAACUGGCCUGGCUGGAGUGCAGGAGAGGGAUGCGGAAUUCACGGUGUAGCGGUGAAAUGCGUAGAUAUCGUGAGGAACACCAGUGGCGAAGGCGGCGACCUGGGUGGAUACUGACGCUGAGGUGCGAAAGCGUGGGGAGCAAACAGG
rnacentral:rRNA from 1 species